CAUGGCCUACGGGGGGCAGCAGUGAGGAAUAUUGGUCAAUGGCCGAGAGGCUGAACCAGCCAAGUCGCGUGAGGGAAGACGGCCCUACGGGUUGUAAACCUCUUUUGUCAGGGAACAAAGGCGGGGACGUGUCCCCGGAUGAGUGUACCUGAAGAAAAAGCAUCGGCUAACUACGUGCCAGCAGCCGCGGUCAUACGUAGGAUCCGAGCAUUAUCCGGAGUGACUGGGUGUAAAGAGUUGCGUAGGUGGCAUAGUAAUUAGCUAGUGAAAUCUGGUGGCUCAACCAUU
rnacentral:rRNA from 1 species